rnacentral:rRNA from 1 species
AACGUAGGUGGCGAGCGUUAUCCGGAUUUACUGGGUGUAAAGCGUGUGCAGGCGGAAGGGUAAGUGGUGUAUGAAAUCGCCCAGCUCAACUGGGCGGGGUUAUGCCAGACUGCUCAACUAGAGGACGAGAGAGGGGCGUGGAAUUCCGGGUGUAGUGGUGAAAUGCGUAGAGAUCCGGAGGAACCCCAGAGGCGAAGGCGGCGCCCUGGCUCGCACCUGACGCUCAGACACGACAGCAUGGGGAG